rnacentral:rRNA from 1 species
UACAGAGGGUGCGAGCGUUAAUCGGAAUUACUGGGCGUAAAGCGUGCGUAGACGGUUAUUUAAGUCGGAUGUGAAAGCCCCGGGCUCAACCUGGGAAUUGCAUUCGAGACUGAAUAGCUAGGGUGCGGUAGAGGGAAGCGGAAUUUCCGGUGUAGCGGUGAAAUGCGUAGAUAUCGGGAGGAACGCCAGUGGCGAAGGCGACUACCUGGCCUGUUCUUGACGCUGAGGCGCGAAAGCUAGGGGAGCAAACGGG